ACGUGGUAUCCUGUCUGAAUAUGGGGGGACCAUCCUCCAAGGCUAAAUACUCCUGACUGACCGAUAGUGAACCAGUACCGUGAGGGAAAGGCGAAAAGAACCCCGGCGAGGGGAGUGAAAAAGAACCUGAAACCGUGUACGUACAAGCAGUGGGAGCACAGGUUUACCUGUGUGACUGCGUACCUUUUGUAUAAUGGGUCAGCGACUUAUAUUCUGUAGCAAGGUUAACCGUAUAGGGGAGCCGUAGGGAAACCGAGUCUUAACCGGGCGUUAAGUUGCAGGGUAUAGACCCGAAACCCGGUGAUCUAGCCAUGGGCAGGUUGAAGGUUGGGUAACACUAACUGGAGGACCGAACCGACUAAUGUUGAAAAAUUAGCGGAUGACCUGUGGCUGGGGGUGAAAGGCCAAUCAAACCGGGAGAUAGCUGGUUCUCCCCGAAAGCUAUUUAGGUAGCGCCUCGUGAAUUCAUCUCCGGGGGUAGAGCACUGUUUCGGCUAGGGGGCCAUCCCGGCUUACCAACCCGAUGCAAACUGCGAAUACCGGAGAAUGUUAUCACGGGAGACACACGGCGGGUGCUAACGUCCGUCGUGAAGAGGGAAACAACCCAGACCGCCAGCUAAGGUCCCAAAGUCAUGGUUAAGUGGGAAACGAUGUGGGAAGGCCCAGACAGCCAGGAUGUUGGCUUAGAAGCAGCCAUCAUUUAAAGAAAGCGUAAUAGCUCACUGGUCGAGUCGGCCUGCGCGGAAGAUGUAACGGGGCUAAACCAUGCACCGAAGCUGCGGCAGCGAACGUAUCACCCAAGACAACUUUACGGAGUUGACGAUUGACGGAGCGAAGCGACGUCAAAGCGUUCAUUAAAGUCGAGUUGGCUUAGGGAUACGUUCGUUGGGUAGGGGAGCGUUCUGUAAGCCUGUGAAGGUGUGUCGUGAGGCAUGCUGGAGGUAUCAGAAGUGCGAAUGCUGACAUAAGUAACGAUAAAGCGGGUGAAAAGCCCGCUCGCCGGAAGACCAAGGGUUCCUGUCCAACGUUAAUCGGGGCAGGGUGAGUCGACCCCUAAGGCGAGGCCGAAAGGCGUAGUCGAUGGGAAACGGGUUAAUAUUCCCGUACUUGGUGUUACUGCGA
rnacentral:rRNA from 1 species